GUUUUCAACUGUCAUUUAUUUACUGGAACAGUUUUUAUUAAGAAACUUGUAUGGAACUAUCAAAGUAUAUUUAUGAGUUUAGUUUACAAUAUCUAGCUAUUCAGAAGUUAUGAAGUUCCUUAAAAUGAAUGUUGUUGGGUCAUUUUCUUGUAUAAUGAGAGUAAAUACUGAUCUUACAGCAACCACGAUCAUGUAACAUCCCUUUUUGAAAUGCUGAAAAGCCCACAAGAUUUGAUUUACCAUAUAAUUAUUGGAAAUGGACAUGCAGUUGUUGUUAUUUGAUUUAAUCAUACUUGAUUUGGAAACUAGCACUAUAGUUGUCUUUACAAUGUUUUUUUUUUACUUUGGAGAAAGUAUUUAUUUAAUGAUUGAUUCAAUAAUACUUUUUAUAGUUUAAACUAUAAAGACAAUGUAAAGCAAAAGUUAUAAAUAACCUGAAGAAGAAAAAACAGGAUAUCAUUGCCAUAGCAUUGACAGAAGUGAAAA